rnacentral:rRNA from 1 species
UGCAGUCGAGCGGGGUCAGGUGCUUGCACUUUGACUUAGCGGCGGACGGGUGAGUAAUGCCUAGGAAUCUGCCUGGUAGUGGGGGACAACGUUUCGAAAGGAACGCUAAUACCGCAUACGUCCUACGGGAGAAAGCAGGGGACCUUCGGGCCUUGCGCUAUCAGAUGAGCCUAGGUCGGAUUAGCUAGUUGGUGAGGUAAUGGCUCACCAAGGCUACGAUCCGUAACUGGUCUGAGAGGAUGAUCAGUCACACUGGAACUGAGACACGGUCCAGACUCCUACGGGAGGCAGCAGUGGGGAACAUUGGACAAUGGGCAAAAGCCUGAUCCAGCCAUGCCGCGUGUGUGAAGAAGGUCUUAGGAUCGUAAAGCACUUUAAGUUGGGAGGAAGGGCAGUAACUUAAUACGUUGCUGUUUUGACGUUACCGACAGAAUAAGCACCGGCUAACUCUGUGCCAGCAGCCGCGGUAAUACAGAGGGUGCAAGCGUUAAUCGGAAUUACUGGGCGUAAAGCGCGCGUAGGUGGUUCGUUAAGUUGGAUGUGAAAUCCCCGGGCUCAACCUGGGAACUGCAUUCAAAACUGUCGAGCUAGAGUAUGGUAGAGGG